rnacentral:lncRNA from 1 species
CUCAUCUUUCAAUUCUUCUUUCUCUUUCUCUUCUUCAGACGCGGCUUCCUCAACCUGUAUAUCAGACUCUGCCCCAAUCUGAAAUUCUGCCUCUUCAUCACUCAGCGCGGAUCCCUCAGCCAUAAUCGGAUCUUCGCGGUCCUCUUCCUCAGAUAUCUCUAGUGUUUCUUCCUCCGACUGCAAGGCUUCUACCUCGACUAUCUCAUUCUGAUCAUCCUUAGGUAAUAAUCUGCCAACAUCUAAAAUUACCAAUUCAGUAGGAAAUAUGCACUUAUCAUAA